CGUCAUAUCAGAUCACUCCAGGUCGAGUUUUGCUGUCCGCCAUUACUUCGUUCAGAAAGUGCAGCUUUUCUGUUGUAGACGGCGACUCUUCAAGGCUCACGCUUCUUUGCUGAAAAUGUCACAAUUGUAGCCGUAUUGCUGAAUUUGGUUUCUCAGAAGAAUGAAGCUGAAACAGAGCUUGAGAGGUGUACAAUGGCAGUGUUUGUCAUCAGGGAGGAUGAGAAUCCUCUCCAACCACCACAUGAAAUUGGGAUUGUAAUUGAAGGUGUGGAAGUCCUUAAUGAGUUGCCGUCAGUCGCACAUGCAUGUGCCAUGUUGUUUGGCCUCAUCUAUGCUGUAAACGUGACCUAUCCAGGUGAGCUCAAAUUAGAGCUGGGCGAAAUGGCCAAAAACGUUAUCACGAUAAACAAAACUCAUAUCGUUCGAUAUCGAUACAUAUCGCGAUAAAUGUCAUCAUUAUUUCUUUCACGUUUGAAGGCUGAUUUUGCUCCUGGGUGGUUAAUUGCGGUUUUAAACUAUCACUUAUGGUCGGAUCAUGACAAACACUCGGCAAACAGUGGAACAUUUCACAAAUUUGUCUUGGGACAGUGGGAGAAAGUUUCUGAGCUCUUUUUAUCAGCUGGAAAAGCACAGCUGCAAUUUUUGUAAUAGUCAUUAUUUAAGAAAGAAAACAGAUUAUUUUUACCUGUGUGGUGACGAGCGCUCGGCUAUCCAGUUACAAAUACUAAACAAUUGGCCAACAACAGUGCUAAACUCUUUAGUUUCUCAACAACCUCAACUUGGUUCGGUAGGUCACUGCUGUCACUCCUGCCACUCCUGCCACAUCCAUGUCAGAGCAUAUCACAGUAUUCAGACACCAGCUAGCGACGACUGGAUUUCUCUAUGCUAUCGCAGUAGUUAAAGGGGUGAAUCACAAAAUAUCUGAUGUUCGCUGUGUAAAAGCGUUAUCUGCAGUGUGAAUCUCUCGCACCAGUCAAACAGAGUCCUCCUUUUAGGUAUGUUUAAACUGAAAGCGGUGAUUUUGUGUCUUGUUUGAUCUACCGUAUCAUCAAUUCUCCGUGUUGUGCCGGAGCGCUGCUUCAAUUAGCCAGCAGCUAAAAAACAGUUAGCUUGGACAGAUAGCGCUCUCCUGCUCUCCAAUGCCUCACAGCUUCCUCAGUUUACUUUCAUUUAAAUCAGGGCUGUAACUAACAUUAACCCACUUCUUUCUUUCACUCUCGUUGUUCGAGAAU